GCCAUGAUCAUGAUCAGCCUUUCUUUUCUUAAUUCUAGACUCUCUUAAUUUUCAAACACAUUAAACAAUGACCCACUUUUCUUUGUCUUGUAGACUUAAACAAAUGAAUUUAUAUUAUUUAUAUAAAAUUAUAAACUAGUUGGAUACCUUGCAAUUUAAUCAUUAUAUAUCAUAUAUAUCGAGGGAAAUACAAGACAAGUACCAAAUCAAAUCCCCAAAUACACUUUCUCUGUUCACAAAAUAAUUAGAAGAGAAAUAUGGCUUGUUUUAAUUCCUGUUUGUUGUUGAUGCUGAUUUUGGUGGUAAGUACUGUUUUUCCGACAGAAGGUAGGCUACUGUCUUCUUCUUCCUCUGACGGGAUAAAUAUGGAUAUUUUGGCAACGCUGGGAAUGGUUUGCAAAUGUUGUGAUGGAGGAGAGUGCAAAGCUACAUGGGUUGAACCUUGUUCUAACCUCCAAUGUCAUCCAUGGAAGCAGCAGCUACAUUGAUUGAUCAUCU
rnacentral:lncRNA from 1 species